rnacentral:rRNA from 1 species
CCUACGGGAGGCAGCAGUAGGGAAUCUUCCACAAUGGGCGAAAGCCUGAUGGAGCAACGCCGCGUGGGUGAAGAAGGUCUUCGGCUCGUAAAACCCUGUUGUUAGAGAAGAAAGUGCGUGAGAGUAACUGUUCACGUUUCGACGGUAUCUAACCAGAAAGCCACGGCUAACUACGUGCCAGCAGCCGCGGUAAUACGUAGGUGGCAAGCGUUAUCCGGAUUUGUUGGGCGUAAAGGGAACGCAGGCGGUCUUUUAAGUCUGAUGUGAAAGCCUUCGGCUUAACCGGAGUAGUGCAUUGGAAACUGGGAGACUUGAGUGCAGAAGAGGAGAGUGGAACUCCAUGUGUAGCGGUGAAAUGCGUAGAUAUAUGGAAGAACACCAGUGGCGAAAGCGGCUCUCUGGUCUGUAACUGACGCUGAGGUUCGAAAGCGUGGGUAGCAAACAGGAUUAGAUACCCGUGUAGUC